rnacentral:rRNA from 1 species
AUGGAGGACGGGGACGGCGAGGCGGCGCGGGAGGCAAUCGCGGCGAGGAUGCGGGCCGGCGACUACACCGGCGCCAGGACGCUGCUGCUGGAGACGCUGCAGACCAACCCCGGCCUCGACGGCGCCGUCGAGAUGCUCGCCGUGCUCGAGGUCCUCUGCGCCGCCCCCGCCGGCCGCCCGCCGCACUGGUACCGGGCCCUCCAGGUCCUGCCCGGGGACGGCGCCGCCGCCAUCGAGGCGCGGCACAGGGCCCUCCUGGCUCAGCUGGAGCCCGUCCGGGACGCCCUCCCCGGCGCCGACCUGGCGCUCCGCCUCGUCGACGAAGCCUACAAGGUGCUGUCCGACCCGGCCAAGAGGGCCAGCUUCGACUCGAGCAACACGGCGGGGGGUUUGGUCAAGCAGAUGGCAGCAGGUGCGUUCAGCAGUGCUCACGCUGACUUGCGGCGUGACCCCAUUUCGCUGACCGAACGGAUGCAUGUCGAUGGAUCAGCAACUCCUCUCGGCACAAAUCCUGACAUGGAUAGAGCAAAAAGCUUGGACACGAAGCAUGUUCGGCAGAUUGACCAACAAUUUUUGGAUGCAGGAAAUUGUUCAAACGUGGCUAGUUCUUCCAAAACCAAGAGGACCGACCAUUGCUUUCAAGGUGAUGAUGGCGAGUUCGAGUUGCAUGAGGAAAACCAUGCAGACAAGAAGCUUAAGAGUGUAUGGGAGAAGGACGUGUAUUCUGUGUCCUCGUCGGAGGAAGAUCCCGACGGCUGCUUUGCUGAUCUCUCAGAUGCCAUGCAAGAUGACCCCUGCUCUAGUCAACAGUAUGACUAUCAUAACUUUGAGGAGGACAGGUUGAUACAGCAAUUUGCUACUGGGCAGAUCUGGGCAGGGUAUGACUGGGAGAAGUUUCCUCGCAGAUAUGCAAGGAUAAAUAAAGUUUUGACAGAUAAGAUGCAGUUAUAUGUAUCAUGGUUCAAACCAUGCCCGCAAUCUCAUGAAGAGAAGAACUGGUUAAGUGCAAGCUUGCCAUUCGUCUGUGGAACCUUCAUUGCGGAAGAUCGGCAAAUAUCGCUAUCUUCUAUAUGUAUGUUCUCCCACGAAAUAUCUCGUGAUACUCUAAAUCAGCAACUUGAAGUAUUUCCCCGGCAAGGAGAAGUAUGGGCCAUCUACAGUGACUGGGACAUUGGGUGGUGCAAUAAUCCUGAAAUGCGGAAGAAGAGUGCCUUUUCUGUUGUAGAAAUUCUUACCAGUUAUUCAGAAGAAUCAGGUUGUACAGUUGCGCCCUUGGUAAAGGUUGGUGGAUUUAGAAGCGUUUUCCAGAGGUACAUGAGGAGUGGGAGGGAGCAGGUAUUACAAGUCUGCAGUGACAAUCUGCUCAUGUUUUCUCACAGGAUCCCUUUAUUUAGGUUUACUCAUGAGGCUGGAACAGUCCUGGAGCUUGAACAUUCUAUUGUACCAGAAAAUCUGCGGCAUCAAAAUACAUUGGCAAGUGUGACUCCUCUGUCCCCACUUUCAGGUUUGGAUAGUGAUACAAAUGGCUUUCAUGAAGCUGCUAUGGCGCAAUUCUCCAGUGCUUCAACUAGCAAUUUAGGUUCAGGUAUUUCCCAGCAAGGAGUGAUGAACUACAAUAACAAGUUGUCACCUGAAGAUUUUAUGGAGGGGCAGAUCUGGGCUGUGUACGAUGCUCGGGAUCGGAUGCCUAGGUCUUAUGUCAGAAUAAUCCAUGUGGUUUCAGAUGCUACAAUUUUUGUGUUGAAGUUGGAACCACAUCCAAUGCUUAACGAAGAAAUACGGUGGGUCGAAGAUGGCUUACCGGUUGCUUGUGGGGUAUUUCGAGCUGGUACUGGAACUACUUACAAGGACAUAUCAGCUUUCUCUCAUCCUGUACAGUGUGACUGGAGUUCAAAGAAGUCUUUCUAUCGAAUCUUCCCGAAGAAAGGGGAAAUAUGGGCAAUGUACAAAAAUUGGAAGAUUACCUUAAAUAGCACUGAUAUUGACAAAUGUGAACCUCGCAUGGUUGAGAUCCUCUCAGAUUACACUGAUGAGAAUGGAGUUAAUGUGUGCAGCUUGACUCGCGUAAAAGGCUGUUUAUCAUUUUUCCAGAGAGCAUUACUGGAAGGUUUCCAUUUGACAAGGUUCCUGGUUGGGUAUAUCUUCUCCUGGACCCUGCUGUUCUUCUGGUUGCGUCUUGUUGAGAGCUCUUUGGACGGGGAAUCCCAUCAAUUACACUGCUAA